rnacentral:rRNA from 1 species
UACGUAGGUGGCAAGCGUUGUCCGGAUUUACUGGGCAUAAAGGGCGUGCAGGCGGUUUGUUAAGUCUAGGGUGAAAGCUCCCGGCUCAACUGGGAGAGGUCCUUGGAUACUGGCGAACUUGAGGGAUGCAGAGGAAAGUGGAAUUCCCGGUGUAGUGGUGAUAUGCGUAGAUAUCGGGAGGAACACCAGUGGCGAAGGCGGCUUUCUGGGCAUUUCCUGACGCUGAGACGCGAAAGCGUGGGGAGCGAACCGG